GGAUGAUCUCAGAGGGUUCACAGCCCGGGCAGGGGCACCAGAAUUGCUCCACUAGCAAGUUUCUGAUCUCGCCUUAGAGUCGAUGCAGGCCCUGCUGUUCUGCGGGCGCGAGGGCAGUCGCUUAGCUCUCACGUGGGGCCCAGCCCGACCCCGGCGGCCUCUCCCGUGAGAUGUAGUUUCACUCUUGUCUCCCAGGCUGGAGCGCAAUGAUGUGAUCCUGGCUCACUGCAACCUCCGCCUUCCAGGUUCAAGCAAUUCUCGUGCUUCAGCCUCCUGAGUAGCU
rnacentral:lncRNA from 1 species